AGGCAGUGGCACCCCACUCCAGUCCUCUUGCCUGGAAUAUCCCAUGGACAGAGGAGCCUGGUAGGCUACAGUCCAGGGGGUCGCUAAGAGUCGGACACAACUGAGCGACUUCACUUUGACUUUUCACUUUCAUGCAUUGGAGAAGGAAAUGGCAACCCACUCCAGUGUUCUUGCCUGGAGAAUCCCAGGGAUGGGGGAGCCUCGUGGGCUGCCGUCUAUGGGUUCACACAUAGUUGGACACAACUGAAGUGACUUAGCAGCAGCAGCAGGAAUACAGAGGCCCAGAGAACGUGAAGUCAUUUUCUUAAACAGGCUUAGGGAAGCAAAACUUUCUAGGGGGGGUGGAGAGAGAGAGUGUGUGUUUGUGUGUGUGAAAAAGAUUUUCUCUUUGUUCACUUAUAAGGGCUGAUAUGUAUUCAUUUGUUUAUUAUUUUUUUUUAAGGUAUUUCAUUACUUUUUUAAAACUGUCUUUUUCAUCCCAGGUAGAUGUUGUCAGGAAAACUUGAGGUAAGGCCAAGAAGAGAGCCAUUUUAUACUUCAUACUAUCUGUAAAUUCUUUUUCAGCUUGGUUAUAUAGCGAGUAUAUUCUGUUCCUUAAAUUGUAGUUGCUGUUCAUUCUAGACAAAUUCUGUUGGUCCUUCUGUUUUUGCUCUUCAGCAGUGUACACUUAACUGUUAAUAAAAGACGUUCCUUUAUAAGCUAGCCAGUUUCAUGUGAGGAAGCAAGUAUAAACUCUUAACUUCUGCAGCUGUCUCGUUAUUUUUUAUUGAGUCUAAUUAACACAGUUAAAAAUACACUAGUCAGCUUGUGCUUUUCUGUUUAGAAUUAUUUUCCAAGGUAUUCAGUAUUUGCUACAUUGAUCUUGAGAAGUAUCGGAGACUUAAAUUUUGAUGUACGAUUUAAAAGUAAACACUGGCGUUUAGAAUCAGUUUUUUUUGGGGGGGGGUCAAGAAAAUGAUUUCUUUUGUGAUAUUAGUCACCCUCAGUAUUCUCAUUCAUUCUUAUAUGUUAUAUGGGUUGCUAUGUUUAAAACUUGACUCUGGAGGCAAAUUUGGUCCC
ensembl:lncRNA